AGAGAGGUGCAAAAGCUUCUCUCGAUGUGGAAAUAUGGAGAACUGAACUUAAGGCUGGAACAAUCAGAACUGGAGAGAAGCCUAAAUCUAUGAGUACAGGUCUCUUGACCAACGUUCCACAUUCAGAUGAUGUCAACUUAUCUCACAAGCUUAUCUCCACUUUGAAGGUUGGGUAUGAUUUGAGAUUAUCUGUUUCCUUGAUUGCUCAUUAGUUAUCAUUCAAAGUUAUUGGCCAAACCCUGCCGGCACUAAAGGGAGCUUUUGAAUAACAAAGAUUGCAUGGCACACAAUGGUCAAAGCAUUAAUAAAAGCUGGGCCUUGGACAGAAGGAUGCAAAGUAAGAAUAAUGUUUAUCUUGAUGGUUUGCAUCACUCUCUUUUUAAUUGUAUUUCAGCGACAUAUAGUUAAUCUUUGGACUGGCUUUGCCUGAAACAAAUGUCAGCCACACUCCUGUUUGCAUUAGUGAUUGCCAAGAUCCAUUUGCUCAUUGUGUAAGCUAGAAGAGGUUUGCCCCUUAAUAAAGCUGUCGCUUAAUCUCAACUGGCUUUGAAACACUAAAUUGCAGUGCUAUUUAUUGCAAAGUGCCAGGAAUAUUCAUUGCUGUCCAAAGAUGCGGCUUCAAACCUGCCAAGGUUUAUACAUGUGAGAAGCCAUGUUCAGUUCAACAGGAUUUUGUAGAUGCAUCCAUGCCUUCAUUCACACUUCUGAGAUUUUUCUGAGAAAAUUCCGUUAGGCAGACCUAUCUGCAAGCUUCUUCACUAGAGCAAACUGCUGUAAGAUGAAUUGGGCUUGCUUUCAGUGCCAAAUCUGCCAUUGGACAAUAUGAGGCAACAACUCAGAUAGCCGAUUUGGGAUAUUAUGAAAUGACUGCCAAUUGUUGCUUACUUAAUUCACAGUUACUGUAUUUUUACAGCCGGGGGAAGGAGGAGAGGUGCUUAUAGGAUUUUUGGUCUCAGAUGCCAUACUAAUGUGACUGUGUCGGGACAUUCUGCAUCUUUGCUUGGAAGUGGAGUGGGAGACACCAUCUGCAAAUGU